CACUCCUGCGGGAGGCAGCAGUGAGGAAUAUUGGACAAUGGGUGGAAGCCUGAUCCAGCCAUCCCGCGUGCAGGAAGACGGCCCUAUGGGUUGUAAACUGCUUUUAUCUGGGGAUAAACCUACUUACGUGUAAGUAGCUGAAGGUACCAGAAGAAUAAGCACCGGCUAACUCCGUGCCAGCAGCCGCGGUAAUACGGAGGGUGCAAGCGUUAUCCGGAUUUAUUGGGUUUAAAGGGUCCGUAGGCGGACUGAUAAGUCAGUGGUGAAAUCCGACAGCUUAACUGUCGAACUGCCAUUGAUACUGUUAGUCUUGAGUAAGGUUGAAGUGGCUGGAAUAAGUAGUGUAGCGGUGAAAUGCAUAGAUAUUACUUAGAACACCAAUUGCGAAGGCAGGUCACUAAGUCUUAACUGACGCUGAUGGACGAAAGCGUGGGGAGCGAACAGGAUUAGAAACCCUUGUAGUCCCAUGAU
rnacentral:rRNA from 1 species